AAAAAAAAAUCCAAUCUUGCCUUAAAAAUUGUUGGUGAUUGAAAACCCACCAUGACUCUUGUUUAACUGUUCCAAUGAUUUAUUACCCUCACUGUCAACAAAAUUUCCAGUCUGAAUUGUCAACAUGAGUACCAAUGAAAAUGGAUUCAGUUCCUGCCAAAUUAUAAAUAGAAACUGUGACACUCCAAGUGUUUUCCUCAGACUGAAAGAAGAGCUCUAUGUAAGCUCGAAAGCUUAUCUGUCUCACCAACAGAAAUUCUACCACUCAGAGAUCAUCCCCUGUCAGAAUACUGGUAGAACUGAUAUCUCUCAAAUGAAACGGUGAAAGUGCCACCACUGCCCCUUGUCUAGAGAAGCACUAAGAUCUGUGGCUUGAUCCAAAGCCCACUGAAGUCAGUGGAAACACUUUGUAUCCAGUUCCCAAUAUUGUGCGGUGCCCCUUUGAAGAUAAUUGCAGUGGAAGUGACUCAGCACUCUCAAGAUCCCCUCAGCAUCUUAUAUAUCUACACCUACUGUAGUGGAUUGGCCUCAGCUAGCAAUACUUUGGGAUCCAGUUACGUAGGAGAGAAAAGGAGAAGAACCACAAACAUGCUGCCUGACUCUAUAUCAUCUGUCCUCCCACCACUCCUUAUAGCUCUAGCAAAGUGGGUCUGGCAAGCAUGAAAUGUCAGCACACACAGUGAGCCAGCAAUCUCUGACUGUAGAACAGUUCCUUGAGGACCAUUGCAACUAGGCAUUAAUUUAGAUCAUCUUUGUGAUCAUUCUAAAUUGUGCUGGGGCCAGAGGAGCCAGUGAGAUGCAUAGUAGAUGCAAAAUGCUAUUGCUACCCCAGGGGUAAGUGAGUGGAGAAUUCUGAUUUGUACACCAACUUUUCAUUCACUUUGAAAUGGUGUCAAUUACUAAUGCCCAUAGUGUGUGACUGAGUCUGUAACAGCAGCCAUCUUGAACUAAAACUGUUCGGGAC